rnacentral:rRNA from 1 species
UAUCUCUGUAGAGUCUGCAUAUCAAUAAGCGGAGGAAAAGAAACUAACUAGGAUUCCCUUAGUAACGGCGAGUGAAGCGGGAAGAGCUCAAAUUUGAAAUCUUCAAGGUUUACCUUGACGAAUUGUAGUUUAAAGAAGUGUUUUCUGUUGGAGUUUCGGUAAAAGUUCUUUGGAAUAGGACAUCAUAGAGGGUGAGAAUCCCGUAUUUGACCAUUAUUUCAGCUGUGUGAUACACUUUCAAAGAGUCGGAUUGUUUGGGAAUGCAGUCCAAAAUGGGUGGUAAAUUUCAUCUAAAGCUAAAUAUUGGCGAGAGACCGAUAGCGAACAAGUACCGUGAGGGAAAGAUGAAAAGAACUUUGAAAAGAGAGUUAAACAGUACGUGAAAUUGUCAAAAGGGAAGCGUUUGACACCAGUGUUGUUUUCUCGAAAAUCAAUUAAAAAUGGCUUGAUUUUGUGUUGUAUUGACCUUAAAAGCUUUCUUCACUUUUUUCAUGUCUUUUUUAAUGCACUUUUCGUUUAACAAGUCAACAUCAGUUUCUUUUGUUGUAAAAAGGUCAUUGGAAGGUGGCUUUCUUUUCGGAGAAAGUGUUUAUAGCCUUUGACUUCUGCAAUCGGAGAGACUGAGGUCUGCAGCGUAGAUCCUUCUGGAUUAGAUUCAUUUGUGCUAAGUUACAACCGUUUAUAGACAACUUGUUGACUAUAUUCGAUCCUGUAGCUUACUCGCUUAUGUAAUUUUACCUACGCUUAGGAUGUUGAAGAUGUAGCACAUCAU